rnacentral:snRNA from 1 species
AAGAUUUCCUGGGGGCCGGGCGAGGCUCAUCUAUUGCACUGCAGAUGUGCUGACCCCAAAUGUGGGCAACUCGACUGCAUAAUUUGUGGAGUGGGGGAGUGCGUUCGUGCUCUCCCCUC